rnacentral:rRNA from 1 species
CCUACGGGAGGCAGCAGUGGGGGAUAUUGCACAAUGGGGGAAACCCUGAUGCAGCGACGCCGCGUGUAGGAAGACGGUCCUCUGGAUUGUAAACUACUGUCACCAGGGACGAAGAUGACGGGACCGGGGGAGGAAGCACCGGCUCACUACGUGCCAGCAGCCGCGGUAAUACGGAGGGAGCGAGCGUUGGCCGGAAGUACUGGGGGUAAAGGGAGCGUAGGCGGGGAUUCAAGUUGGGUGGUAAUUCUACCGGCUCAACUGGUAGUCGCACUCCAACCGGCAGCUCUUGAGUGAAGUAGUGUCAGGCUGACUUCCUCGUGUCGCGGUGACAUGCGUCGAUAUUAGGCGGAACCCCAGUGGCGAAGGCGGCCUGCUGGGCUUUUACUGACGCUGAGGCUCGAAAGUGUGGUGAGCAAACAGGCUUAGAUACCCUGGUAGUC